UAUCCUCCUAUUUAUAGGUUAGAAAGAAUAAUAGAGUUGUUAAAAAAAAUUAUAUGUAACUAAUAGGGAUAUAAAGUUAAGUGUGCUACAUAUAGGUUAAUUGUUUGUUUUAUAUGUUUCAUGAAGUUCUCUUGACUAUCAUUUUCUUAGGCUUACAAAUAUUUGCAUGAGCUUAUACACUAAAGCCCAUCACGACAAAUAGCAGCCCAAUUAACAGUAUUCAUGCUUGUUUUAAUUGAAUGUCAUAUUGUUCCCCAAUGGGCUUUUGUAUGAGGGGCUAUGGUGUCACACGGAAGCAUUUUCUUCGAAGAUGGAUUAUUUUAUUGUCUCAUGGUGAAAGUGACAGCGUGAUAUCGUAAGAUGGCGAUAAAUGAUAAUUAUCUUGUCAGUACAUGAUCUUUGACAAUAACAAUAAGUGAACAAUACAUGAGGCGCGAAGGAUGUCACUCGGAACAAUAUAUAUGCAUGGGUAGGAUAUGUGCUAUCUGUUAUCAGCUAUACAUGCAUGCAUGGACCAAAUGGCAAUUGGCCGGAAUUACCAAAAUAAUAAUGCUAAGAUUUAUACGUAUAAACGAAAACAACGAAGUUACUUAGGAUACUUUGGGGAAUGUGAAAUAUUACAAGCAAUUGAAUGAAAAACUGUCUUCUGAAUACGCUAGCAAGAACGUAACCAACAAAUUUAUUACUCUUUAGCAUUUAGCAAUAGAAAAAACAACCUUCGUCCAUAAAAGAGAGGAGCAUGUUCUCACGCGCAGUAAAUUAGCGAGUAUUGAACCUUUUCUUUUCCUUACAGCGAAUCUUUAUUGUUUAUGCGUACACGAGUGCGUGUUAUAAGGGAAAAAGAAAACUAUUAGGAUAAACUUCAUUUGAAGUAAUGAAAUUAUUAGUAAAUUUAUAUUUUAAUUAUUAAAUUUUAAAAAUUUAUAAAAUAAUUAUUAAAUUAUGUAAAAAAAUUUAUUUAAGUUGUUGAUGUAUAACCUUUUAUAUUCGCAAUAAACUUUUAUUACAUUAAAAAAAAUUCUCAACAAUUAAUUUUUUAAAGAAUAAAUAUUUAGGAAGUUAAUAUAUUAUUGGUUGGGAGGGGUAAUGGUCUAAGACUUCCAUGAAAGUCUCAAAACAUUUAGUCAAGUCUCAAAACAAGCAAAGUUACCAAAGUUUUGUUCUAGAAGAACAAGUUCUCAAGACGUGAUCUUCAAGUUUUGAAACUUAUUCUUAAAUUGUAAGACCCAAUUUUAGCUCGGGCUACUUAAUUCCAGCCCAAUAAAUAAAACCCCAAAAAAAAAUCUAAAGAGAGUCUAAAAUUACAAAAACAACAAAUCCAAUUAUAAGCCCAAAAUAAACCUAACCUUACAGCCCAAACAGCCCAAAACUAAACUAACUUUUCAGCAAAAAAUAGAAUAGCUGCUGCACCCCUCCACCACGCACGUCGGCGCACCUCGCACGUCCGGCCAUCUCGCUUGUGGCACGACCCACGCCCCACGUUCACCAUACCUGCAACUAGUAGAAGCAAAGAAACCGUUGUAAAGUUGGCUAUAAAAAGGUCACGAAUUUUCAUUUGUAAGGGUUUUUUUUUUUGGAAAAAAAGAGAAUACAAGUUGUAAUAUAAAAUACACACAAAAAUCAGUAGAAAGGGACCAAAGAAUAUUUUCAAAGGUGAAUAUUUACUGCAGUUUUUUUUGUGUUGUUUCUUCUUUUUCCUUAUUUUUUCAUUUCCAUUCGGAUCCAUAUACAAAAAUAUAAAAAGAAAGAGGAGGGGAACUUACCGACGUGGCACAAGAGAAACCUUUGAAGUCGAAUUUUGGCUCAAAAUGGUGGUCUGUCGAAGAAGAGGAAAAGAGGAGAAAGUGAAGGAGAAAAGUUUCAAAACUUUAAGUUUUUUUUUUUAAGGAAAAAGUUUAAAUGUUUUCUAAAAAAAUGAUUUUUUAAAGCAGGUUUCAAUUUUAGGUAAUAAAGGGAACAACAUUAGGAGAAGGAACUGAUCGCCUUUUUGACUUGGUCUACACGCCUAAUUUCUUUAAACAGUUUAUUUACGCGUUUAGUCCUUCUUCCUUCUUUGUUCUUUCAAAUUUAUUCAUUUUUAUGUUUCAAUUUUGCCACAUGAUUUUUCUCGUGAUUCAUUUGAGUCCGCAUUAAGGUGUCACGCUUGAGGGUUCGGGGAUAAUUUUCAAGUCAGUCCCUCUCUUUCUCAUGCACGUUCAAUUUGGUUCCAUUUGUUAAUGUGAUGUUUAGUUUUUAGAUCUCAUAUUUUACUUUAAUCUCAAAUUUGUCCUUGCUUUGAUUUCUUUAUUUCUUUUCUGUUUUAUUAUUUUUUAUUUCAAAUCUUUCUAUAUACUAUUCAUUUCAAUUAUUUUUUCUGCUUAAUCUCCUUCCUUUAUGCAUAUAUUAUUUAUAUUAAGUUAUUUUUAUUUUACAAUAUUAUUUAUUUAUGUGUAUAUAUAUGGUUUGGUAUAUUAUCUAUAUUGUCUUGUUUUUUUUACACUUAUUUAUAUGUAAAUAUUUUUUUUUGUAUCAUUAGUUUUGAAUUGUUGUAUUCUAUGUUUUUGUAUAUAAUGUUUUUUAUUAUUAUUUUAUGUAUUUUCUUUUGAAUCUGUUUAUGAUUGCAUGUUUCCUUUUAAAUCUAUAUAUAAUCAAUGUCGUUUAAGGUUAUUUUAUGAUGUGUUGGUGUUUAUUUCAAAUGUUUUUAUAUUUUUAAUUCUAUGAUAUUUUAUUUAUAUAGUUUCUUUAAAAUCUUUAAUGUAUAUUUUCUUUUCAAAUCUGUUGUGUAAAUAUUUUCUUCUAAUUUAUUUUUAUAUAUAUUUUCUUUAAAAUUAUUCGUAUAUAAUUUGGUUCUUUUAUGGAUCAUGUUUUAUAUUGUUUAUUUUAGUUGCUUUGGUAUCUUUGUAUAUAUAUUAUUUUCAUUUAUUAUUUUCAUAUAGAUAUGUAUGCCAUUUGUUAAGUCAAUUUGUUAAUUUAAAAUUAUGUUACAUAUUAUUCAUUCCAAUACAUAUUUUAAUAAUCACUUAUAUAUUAUCCAUUUUCUAUAUGUAUGAGCUAUUUUGAAUUCUAAUAUAUGUUAUCCUUUUGUAUAUUGUUCAUAUGGUUUUUAAAUUUGUUUUGCAUUACAUUGGUUCCUAGUUUCCAUGUAGUUCUAUGUAUUACGUUUUUUUUUCUCUUUUUUUUUUCUUUUUUUUUUUUCUGAUUCGUAUCCACUUAUUAUUGUUUCAUGCUUGUAAUUAUGUUUUAGUUUCUUGUUGCAUCAUUUUUUUCCUUUUUCCAAAAAAUCUCGUAUUUUUGCCCAAUAUUGAUUGCUUUUUACUCUAAAGUAAACCGAACGAAUAUAUUUUAAGCCGAUUUUAUAAUUGCUUAUUUGGGAAACUUUUCAAAACAAGACAAUAUUUCGUGUUUGGGAAGUUCGGAAAUCGUGCCCUAGCGUGUUGGGUUUCGUUUUUUCCGUUUUGUCAAAUAACGGAGUACCCUUUUAAGAGUUUGUUGCGUGUUUUGGAAAUUUAAAGGUGAUCUCAGUUUUUGGAAGCUUAAAGUAUCGUGUCCUAACGUGCUGGAUGUGGUAUUUUAUUUCUUUGGAGUGGGAGAACCUUAAAAUCCAAUUCGAAUUGUUCAUACAAUUUUUAAAGAAAUCGUAUUUUGAAUUUUUUUUCCAAAUUUUCAACGAUGGGACAUUCAAUAAUCAAUUAGUACCAAUUUUGGGCGUCACGAGGGUGCUAACCCUUCCUCGUGCGUAAUCGGCUCCCGAAUCAUUUUUCUUAACUUUCGUAGACUUAAAAUUAUUAUUUAAUAAAUUAAAUAUUUUAUUAAAAUGAUCAACCUCAAGGUGAUCCGAUUCCACCUCAAAAAAGGUUGGUGGCGACUCCAAACUUUCGUUUUUAAAGUCGAUUCUCGUUUUUUUCAAAACUCUUUAAAAAUGGUUUUGACAGCUUGGCGACUCCGCUGGGGACCAAUAAGAGAGUCAAGCCGUAAAAUUGAUUAUUUUCUGUCCUUUUGUCGAAAUUUUAAAAUUUAGAUUUUAACAUACGAUCCUUUUAUUGCAUUUCAUGGGUUUUAUGGUUUUUUUCAUUUGAUUCGUGUUUUGCAUUUUGAGUUUUUUUUAUAUCCCUUCGCAUCAUCUUGCAUGACCGUUGUGGUUGCACCUUUUUAAGUGGGAGUGAAAAACUACGCCUUCGUGAGGUUUUCACCUCCGCAUGGGCUAGUGGACUGCUUCCGGGAUACAUCCGUACCUAUGUCUUCGUGAGGUUUUCACCUCCGCAUGGCCAUAGGGAAAUGUAUUCCCCUGAACUGAACUCGAUCAACAUGAGCCUAUAAUGGGUGAGGGUUAAGGAAUCUACUGGUUCAGGUACCCUUUUCUUAAAACCGAGCUACAUAUAGUGAACUCUAGGAGCUGCCCUAGGUAGAGCUAUGUUGAACCCUAGCGAUUACUCAGUUAAGUGUUUGAUUAUUUUCUAUUUUGCUUUGAUUUUUUUAUUUUUUGAUACUAACUUGUUGUGUUUUGUUGUGAUUAUGUUUUGCAUGUCAUUUCAUAUUAAAGAAGUGUCAAUUUCUGUUCAGUUGCUAAAUUAGAAAGCUUGUUAUGGAGAGCGAAUUCCUUGAUAAAGUAGAGGAUAAUGCGGCUGUCUACAUGUGGUCAGAGAAGAUACAACUUGAGAAAGGGGAUAGCCUAGCUGAGAGGUAUACAUCGAGGUUGUUGGGCUUCACUCGCAUCAAUGUGAACCAAAACGAGUUCCAGGAAUUGAGGGAUAUAUGAGCUCGUUGGGAUGAUGAAACCAAGCAGCUAUUCUAUCAAAGUUAUGGUGAGUUACCCUACCUGCUCGAUAUCAAGGUAGACAAGUACUUGUUUCGGGCUAUGGCUCAGUUUUGGAACCCGGCGUAUAGUUGUUUUACCUUCGGGAAGGUGGACUUGGUGCCUACUGUAGAGGAGUAUACAGCCUUGCUCCGUUGUCCAAAGGUUCAAGUCGACAAAGUUUAUUCCAAAGCUGUUAAUGCCCCAGCUUUCGUAAAGAAGUUAAUGAGUAUCACUGAGAUGAAUGAACAAUGGGUUACAGCUCGAAUUCAGUAAUAAGGUGAUGGUAGGUGCAUUCAUUGGGUAAGUUUGAGGGACUUUAUUGUAGCACAUCCAGAUACAAAGAGGAAAGUUGACGUCUUCGCCUUAAGUAUUUAUGGUUUGGUGAUUUUCUCCAAGACUUUAAGGUAUAUAGAUGAAGCAGUUGUCGAUUUCUUUGAUCGACUUGAUAAAGGGGUCACGCCGGUGCCGGAAAUUCUUGCUGAGACGUUCAGAUCCUUGAGUGCAUGUCGAAGGGCAAGUGAAGGUAGAUUUAUAGGGUGUGCGCAGUUAUUGUUGGCUUGGUUCCACAGCCAUUUCUGGAAGGUGGAUAAGGUUUCCUAUCAGGUUUUUUCUGAGAGUUACUCCCCGUUAAAGGAGAUAGCAGCCAUGUCUAGGAGAGAUGACAUAUCAGAAGAAAAUUGGAUCGCGCUCCUCCGAAAUCUUCAGGAAGAGAAUUUUGAAUGGAGAACUCCUUGGUUUGUUCCUGAUGAGAUCCUCUAUCGGUGUGGGAGUUUUGAUUGGGUACCCCUACUUGGAAUUUAGGGAGCUGUUGGAUAUAGCCCUUUGCUCGUUUUAAGACAAUACACGUCAAGGCAGUUUAUACCGAUGACACAUGGAUUAGCCCAGAGUGAGUUAGCGUAUAAGGAGAAGAAUUAUAAGAAGAAGGUUCAAGAGGUUUUUGAUGCUUGUAAACAGACACACCGGAUGAAGAGAUUGGCUGUUGGAUCAAUGACGACUCCUGAAUACAAGGGGUGGUUGAGUAAAAGAGUGAAUGAAAUAUCCCUGAGCUGAGUUUGGAGUAUGUUCAUAUGAUGGAAGAAUAUUUACAAGUAAUCCCCUUUGAGCUUGAGAUCGUAAAACGAGACUUCGAAGAGAGAAAUGUGGAGUUAGGGAAAAUGAUAGAAUAAUUGGAGGAGGAAAAGAUACAUUUGAGAUUGGACGCUGACGUUCAGCAACUCGAGGCCGAGAAGUUGAGAAAAGGGAAAAUAAAGGUUGAGGAAGACCUGGACAGUUUGAAAACUGAUUACAAGAAGCUACGUAUGUCGAUGAGAACUGCAGGGUUAGGGAAGGCGUCAGAGCAGUGGCGAUAAGAAAUUCAAGAGGAAAAGGCUAGAGCUGAUCAGUGGGAGAAGAGGUUUCAUGAUGCUCGAGCACGUGAAAGCGCCUUAAAGAAGAGCUUGGUUGAAGGCCAAUGUGAGAAAGAAAUGUUGGUAGCUCAUGUAGCAGAGUUGGAAAAGACCCUGCAUCAGCACCGUGGUCGUAACUCUGAUAUUGAAUUAAGAGCCAGCCUGAGUAAGAUUGAAGAUUUGAUAGGGAAGGUAGAAGAGCUCGAGACUGUACUAUAAAACUGUGAGCUUCGAAUUGAAUUACUUGAGUCGAACAAUGAGCAGUGGAAGGAACAACUCCGCCGAUUGCAGGACCAGGUCAUGGAUAGAGAUCACAUCAUGGGUGAAGCCGUGGCUCAGAUUCGAGAAGUGGUUGAUUAUUUACAGACCUUAGCUGUUCAGGCUGAUGUCCUAAAUGUGAACUAUGAGUUAGAGUCGGAUCGAGGUCGUGAACUAGCUUGCCUUCUUAAGAAAGUUAAAGCUUUGAGCAUUAGCGCUAAGCCAUAUAUGUGAUCUAUUUUAUGUAAAGGAUUUUGCUUUUUAAUAAAAAUUUUUAAAUAGAAUUGAAUCAGAAUCGACGUCUCUUUAGUUUUGCGUUCAUUUCAUGCAUUUUCAUUUCAUCGCAUUAUGUGCAUCAAAUUUCACAAAAGAAUCCUGAUUAAAAAAUUGUAUUAUAGUUACCCUAGAACAUCAAUAUUACACACGAAAAAAGACCAAAGCAAUGGAUCAAAGGUUGGAAAAAUUAGAGCAAAUGCAGAAAGAAAUGCAGGAACAGAUGCAAGUAAAAAUGCAAGAGCAAUUAGCUAAGGUCCAACAAGAUAUGAAAGAUCAAAUGCUAGAAUCUCAGAGGAGUAUGAUGAGCGAAUUGACCCAGCUACUAGUUGGAAAGCCGGAAAAAGGGAAGAGUCCUAUGGCCAAUGCUGAGGAUGAUAGCGGGAUUCUUGCUUACCCUCCGGGUUUCACCCCAACAAAUACCCCAGUGCCUCCACAAAGGGUGUCUGUCAGUAUCAAACCCCAAUAUCAGACUGGUACUUCGGCACCGAUAAAUGCCUCGACAGGCUCGUGUUCCAACCCCGAAGACAAUCUUACAAAUCCUACAGUCCCUGACUUCGAUGAGGUCACGGAAGUAGGAAAGGCAGGAGUAGAAUUUCCAAAACGACUAGAAGACCGAUUCAGGUGGUUGGAGGAAAAAUUCAGGGCGUUGGAAAGCGCUGAUUAUCAUUGAGGAAUGAAUGCCACGGAGUUGAGCCUGGUCCCAGAUCUGGUACUCUCUCUGAAGUUUAAAAUGUCAGAAUUUGAAAAAUACAACGGAACCAGUUACCCUGAGGCUCAUAUCACGAUGUUUUGUCGGAGAAUGACUGGGCAUGUCAAUAAUGAUCAGUUAUUGAUCCACUGUUUCCAUGACAGUUUGACUGGGGCUGCAGCUAAAUGGUACAAUCAAUUGAAUCGUAGCCAAGUUAAAUCAUGGAAAGACUUAGCACAAGCCUUUAUGAAACAAUAUGGCCAUGUGACUGACAUAGCGCCUGAUAGGAUCACAUUACAGAACAUGGAGAAGAAGUCAAAUGAAGGUUUUAGGAAAUAUGCUCAGAGAUGGAGAGAAGUUGCUACACAAGUCCAACCGCCAUUAUUGGAGAAAGAAACAACCAUGCUUUUCAUUAAUACCUUGAAGGCACCUUUUAUUAAUCACAUGUUGGGAAGCGCAACUAAGAGUUUUGUGGAUAUAGUUAUGUCUGGUGGAAUGAUUGAGAAUGCAAUAAGGUGCGAAAAGAUAGAGGCAGGGGAAAACACCAGGAGGUCAACCCCGAAAAAGAAAGAAAAUGAAGUCAGCAAUGUGAAUAUGGGUUAUGCGAAACCAAUCAUGGUAAAUCAACCGAAAGCGGUAGCCACGGGCCAACAAGCUUCGCCAAGGCAGGAGCCCAAUACAAAGCAGAACACGGAGAAGCCCCAUUUUACUCCCAUUCCAGUAACGUAUCGAGAGCUGUACAAAAGUUUGUUUGAUGCACACGUCGUAUCUCCUUUUUUAUUUAAAACCACUGCAACCCCUGUACUCCAAGUGGUAUGAUGCAAGUGCUCAAUGUGAAUAUCAUGCUGGAAUCGCGAGACACUAGAUAGAGAACUGCACCUCUUUUAAGAGAGUAGCCGAAAGGCUCAUCAACAUGGGUAUUGUGAAAUUCGAUGAUGCACCUGGUGUAGGGAAUCCGUUACCCAACCAUACUGAUAAAGGGGUAAAUGCUGUAGUCGAGAAUUUGGAGAGGAGAAUUAAGUUGGAUGUGACAGAAGUGAGAACCCCGAUGAGGGAGGUUUUGAAGAAGAUGGUAGAAAGAGGUCUAAUCAUACAAGACUUUGAGAGCAAAUCCCGAGAAGCAGGUAAUUAUUGUGAGUUCCAUGGAGAGGGGGACCAUGAAAUAGAAAAAUGUAAUGAAUUUAGGGCCCUGGUAUAGGCUUUAACGGACAACAAAGAACUGGAGUUCUUUGAGUUUACUGAGAAGGAAGAUGUAUGCACUUCGGAGGAGGGGUUGAUAGAGAAGGUUUCUGAGGUCAAUCACCCAGUGGUGAUCAUUUUGCGACCGAAAAUUAAUGAAGUUGGAGCAAAAAUUAUACCGAGAGUUGUAAUCUAGAGGCCCACGACUUUUCCGUAUAAGGAUAACAAAAGGGUGCCUUGGAAUUACAACUGUAAUGUGACAUAUCCAGGGGAGGAGAGUCUGGUCAGCACGCCAAGUACAAAGAUCGAGCCUGGAAAAGGGAAGUCUGUGAUGAUUGAACAAAGGAAAGAGAGGACGAAACCACUGGUCAAUGAACCAGUAACUGAAGGUGAAGCUAAAGAAUUUUUGAAGUUCCUAAAACACAGUGAGUAUAGUGUUGUGGAAUAGUUGUAAAAGUAGUCGGCACGUACAUCGAUACUAGCUCUGCUCCAAAACUCGGAGGUUCACUGAAAUGCGUUGAUGAAGGUGUUGAACGAGACCUAUGUCGCUGAAGAUAUUUCAGUGAACAAGCUAGACCGCCUUAUCAGUAACAUAAGCACCAAUAACUUCAUCUCCUUCAGUGACGAUGAAAUAUCACUAGGGGGCAUGGGAUUCACCAAGGCUUUGCACAUCACCAUUCGCUACAAAUGGUAUACACUGCCGGGGGUAUUAAUUAAUAAUGGCCAGACAAAUCAUGAGAUUCGGGUACUAUUGGUCCACAAUGGAAGGAGAUUGCAUCAGCUAUGCCAAGAAAUGCCAUAAUGCCAAAUUUAUGGUGACAAAAUCCACGUGCCUCCUUCACCCCUUCAUGUCAUGACUUCUCUGUGGCCUGUUUCAAUAUGAGGCAUGGACGUUAUUGGGCCGAUUUCACCGAAGGCUUCUAAUGGGCAUCGAUUCAUCUUUAUGGUCAUUGAUUACUUCACCAAGUGGGUAGAGGCUACUUCAUAUGCCAAUGUCACAAAGUCGGCAGUAGCAAGUUCUUGAAAAAAGAAAUCAUAUGUAGAUAUGGCAUGCCAGAAAGAAUCAUAUCUGACAACGCGUUGAAUUUGAAUAACAGUGUGAUAGUGGAGGUUUACAGCCAGUUCAAGAUUAAGCACUACAACUCGUCACCUUAUCGCCCAAAAAUGAAUGGUGCGGUUGAGGCAGCCAAUAAGAAUAUCAAAAGGAUCGUGGGAAAAAUGACUGAGACCUACAAGGAUUGGCAUGAAAAGUUACCAUUUGCUCUUUAUGCUUAUCGAACAUCUGUUAGAACUUCUACCGAAGCAACGCCUUACUCAUUGGUUUAUAGGAUGGAGGCAGUUUUGCCCAUUGAAGUCGAAAUUCCUUCUCUCCGGGUUUUAUCAGAGUUGAAGCUAGACGAAGCAGAAUAGAUUCAGUCUCGGUAUGAUCAGCUGAACUUAGUUGAAAAAAAGAGACUGAAGGCUAUUCGUCAUGGUCAAAUGUACCAGAGGCGAAUGAUGCAAGCUUACAAUAAAAAGGUUUGCCCCAGAGUAUUCCAUGAGGGGGACUUGGCAUUAAGACAAAUUCUCCCUAUGCAAAAAAAUUUCAGAGGGAAAUGGAUGCCAAACUGGGAAGGACCUUACAUGGUAAAGAAGGCUUUUUCUGGAGGAGCACUGAUAUUAAUUGAGAUGGAUGGUAGGAGCCUGUCUAACCCAGUAAAUUCGGAUUCAGUCAAGAAGUACUUCGCUUAAGAGGUGAAAACCCGCAAAGGGCACCUAAAAAAAAGGAGAGGCCGAGGUGGAAACCCGCAAAGGGCACCUUGAGACCAAAUGGGUUUUUGAAUUGAAAACCCGAAAAGGGCAAUUCAAAUUUUGACCAAGGAUGGGCCAGGUGGUAGUCUUGCUAUGCUGGAAAUAAUGAAGAGAAAGUAAGUAUGUCUUGGGGCAUCGACAAAAUACGUUAGAUCUUCUAGACACAUGAUAAGCUCAAAAUUGUCCUCGUGGAGUUCAUACAGAGGAGCUUAGGCUGCAAUAUCUGGGGCGUUCAUUUUUGUUCCCCUUACCUAUUUUUAUACUCUGACAAUAUUUGCUUCCUAUAAUUAAUCCAUUUUCUUGAAACUUGUCCCUAAUAAACUUUAGUUUUGUCCAUAUUUAUCUUUAUGAUCACGUGCUUGUAUUGAAAUAACGAUUAAGGGACUAAUAAUACUUUUGCAAAUGAGGUUUUGCAUAUUACUCUGAAAGUUUUUAAAUUAUAUAAGAACCUGAAACAGGACUAUCGUUUAAAACUUACCCAGUUUAGGGGUGGAAUAUUUGUGUUCAAAUUGGGAUUAUCUCUUCAGAUUUUCAAUCAAAGAUAUUGAUUGGAUAAGAAAACAGGAUAUUAUGUCAACCAAAGCAUUAAAGAUAAUCAUGAUAUUUCUCAUUAAUACAAAUGUUGGGCGAACACAUCUGGUCAUGACACUCGAGGAGUGGUGUAAUAGACCAAGUUGAUGAAAGUUUCUAGGUGACAAGGGGGGUUUGAAGAUGGUACAAACCUUAUAGUGGAAGAGACUUUGAAACUACAGUGGGGCAAGCCUGUUGAGCAAAAUGAGUUAUUUUUACAGGUUUUGUUGAGAAAUGCUAGUCGAGCAAGAAGGCAUCAUAACACGAUGAUGAUAAAGCUCUGAUAAAUAACAAGUGAUGACACUUAAAGUUUUUAAAAAGAAAGAAAAAGAAAAAAGAAAUCAUUUUCAUUUCUACAGUCAUAUCAUUCAUAACACAUUUGGUUAGGAGCAUCUGAUUCAUUUCGAUCUUAGCGUUCUAAUCAUUUGGCAUAAACAUAAACAUAAAACCGAGUCUGCAGGGCAUGUUUCCUAGAGGACAAUGUGGCGACAUUGGUGAAAAUUACAGAUCUUAUCUCCAUGUAUCGGCUAUGGAGCAGAUCAGAAACGGUGAGUCUUAUCUCCAUGUAUCAGCUAUGGAGUAUAUUUUAGCCACCAGCCUUAUCUCUCUGAAGUUGCAGUGGAGCAGGUUGAAGAUACAAGUCUUAUCUUUCUGAAGUUGCAGGAAGUAGACUAAAAAUUACAGAUCUUAUCUCCAUGUAUCGGCUAUGGAGCAGAUCGAAAAUGGCAAGUCUUAUCUCCACGUAUUGGCUAUGGAGUAGAUUUUAGCCACCAGCCUUAUCUUUCUGAAGUUGCAGUGGAGCAGGUUGAAGAUACAAGUCUUAUCUUCCUGAAGUUACAGGAAGCAGACUAAAAAUUACAGAUCUUAUCUCCAUGUAUCGGCUAUGGAGCAGAUAAAAAAUGGCGAGUCUUAUCUUCAUGUAUCGGUUAUGGAGUAGAUUUUAGCCACCAUCCUUAUCUCUCUAAAGUUGCAGAGGAGCAGAUUGAAGAUACAAGUCUUAUCUUCCUGAAGUUGCAGGAAGUAGACUGAAAAUUACAGAUCUUAUCUCCAUCUAUCUGCUAUGGAGCAGAUCGAAAAUGGCGAGUCUUAUCUCCAUGUAUCGGCUAUGAAACAAAUCAAAGAUGGCGAGUCUUAUUUCCAUGUAUCGGCUAUGGAGCAGAUUUUAGCCACCAUCCUUAUCUCUCUGAGGUAGCAAAGGAGCAGAUUGAAACAACAAUUUCCAUACCUUUGAAUAUGCGGUGGAUUAAAACGAGGCUACGUAAGGAAAAAAAAUAUCAAGAAGUCAAGACUUAGUAAGACCGGGAAAAACUGGCCCUUUUGAAGUUUUUGCUCUGUUCUCGUUACACGACAAUGGGCAAAAAGAGGCAGCUAUAAGACCCAAUUUUAGCCCGAGCUACUUAAUUCCAGCCCAAUAAAUAAAACCUAAAAAAAAAUCCAAAAAGAGUCCAAAAUUACAAAAACAACAAACCCAAUUAUAAGUCCAAAAUAAACCUAACCCUAUGGCCCAAACAGCCCAAAAAUAAACUAACUUUUCAGCAAAAAAGAGAAUAGCUGCUGCUCCCCUCCACCACGCACGUCAGCGCACCUUGCACGUCUGGCCAUCUCGCGUGUAGCACGACCCACGCCCCACGUUCACCAUACCUGCAACUAGUAGAAACAAAGAAACCAUUGUAAAGUUGGCUAUAAAAAGGUCACGAAUUUUCAUUUGUAAGGGUUUUUUUUUUUUGGAGAAAAAGAGAAUACAAGUUGUAAUAUAAAACACACAAAAAAAUCAGUAGAAAAGGACCAAAAAAUAUUUUCAAAAGUGAAUAUUUACUGCAAUUUUUUUUGUGUUGUUUCUUCUUUUUCCAUAUUUUUUCAUUUCCAUUCGGAUCCAUAUACGAAAAUAUAAAAAGAACGGGGAGGGGAACUUACCGACGCGGCGCAAGAGAAACCUUUGAAUUCGAAGUUUGGCUCAAAAUGGUGGUCUGUCGAAGAAGAGGAAAAGAUGAGAAAGUGAAGGAGAAGAGUUUCAAAACUUUAGGUUUUUUUUUAAGGAAAAAGUUGAAAUGUUUUCUAAAAAAGUGAUUUUUUAAAGCAGGUUUCAAUUUUAG
rnacentral:lncRNA from 1 species